GCAUACUUGGCCUUAAUCGAAGGCAGCUCAUAAAGAAGGUGGGGCUGCAAACACCGGGAUGUU
rnacentral:tRNA from 1 species